GGGUUAAGUCCGUAACGAGCGCAACCCUUGUCCUUAGUUACCAGCACGGUUAUGUGGGCACUCUAAGGAGACUGCCGGUGACAAACCGGAGGGAAGGUGGGGAUGACGUCAAGUCAUCAUGGCCCUUACGGCCUGGGCUACACACGUGCUACAAUGGUCGGUACAAAGGGUUGCCAAGCCGCGAGGUGGAGCUAAUCCCAUAAAACCGAUCGUAGUCCGGAUCGCAGUCUGCAACUCGACUGCGUGAAGUCGGAAUCGCUAGUAAUCGUGAAUCAGAAUGUCACGGUGAAUACGUUCCCGGGCCUU
rnacentral:rRNA from 1 species